CUUUUACAAUGAAGAGUUUGAUCCUGGCUCAGGAUGAACGCUAGCUACAGGCUUAACACAUGCAAGUCGAGGGGCAGCAUGAUUGAAGCUUGCUUCAAUCGAUGGCGACCGGCGCACGGGUGAGUAACACGUAUCCAACCUGCCGAUAACUCGGGGAUAGCCUUUCGAAAGAAAGAUUAAUACCCGAUAGCAUAGUUUCCCCGCAUGGGGUUACUAUUAAAGGAUUCCGGUUAUCGAUGGGGAUGCGUUCCAUUAGGCAGUUGGCGGGGUAACGGCCCACCAAACCCACGAUGGAUAGGGGUUCUGAGAG
rnacentral:rRNA from 1 species